rnacentral:tRNA from 1 species
GGGUCGAUGCCCGAGUGGUUAAUGGGAGCGGACUGUAAAUCCGCUGGCCUUGCCUACGCUGGUUCAAAUCCAGCUCGGCCCA